rnacentral:rRNA from 1 species
UGGUGGAGUGAUUUGUCUGGUUAAUUCCGUUAACGAACGAGACCUUAACCUGCUAAAUAGUUACGUUAACUUUGGUUGACGGCUAACUUCUUAGAGGGACUAUGGAUGUUUAAUCCAUGGAAGUAUGAGGCAAUAACA